GAUAUAUUUUGGCAAACCUAUUGAAAGGUAGGGACGCAAAGCUAUGGGCCUAAGGGAUUAACUAUGGUUGCCAGGUUGCACUU
rnacentral:ncRNA from 1 species